AUGAAAUGCAGAGAUGCUCCUGCCAUGGACUCUAUGACUACUGGAAGUAGUACAAUGUAUCCCAACUGGAAGAAGACUCACUUUCUUCAUGCUUUUUCAAAGACUGAGAUGACAAUGCACACGCAAUCUACGUCUGUCCACCUGAAAGAGCUGCCUGUAAUCACUCAAGAUCAAUGUAGCCCAGCAGCGGUUUCUGCUUUAAAGUUGCCUUUUGGCCCACCAUGCCCCCCGAGCCUGCCACCAUAUGAACCCCAAGUUGCAGACCAGCAGUGCAGCAGACCAGUAGACCAGCAAUGGUGGAAUGACACAGAAGAGAAACAGAGGAGUGAUGUCUGGACGCCGAGGGUAGUUCUGUUGGGGGCGGUCAGAGGAGAGGCUGGCUGCUGAUUAGCCUCACUCCAGUGAUUUCAAUCUCGGCAAACAAGCAUCAUCAACAUCCAUUCCAGAUAAGUUAUUUUCAAAAUUUUCUUAUCUUCACUAAGUCCCCUCAAUUAUACUUUCAGAACGGCUUCUCAAAUUUAUCCAUUGCUUGUCAGUUAUAUAACCACUUCCUAAUCUGAUGUGACAUUGCCUUUCACAUGAAUUGAUGGGCAGCAUAACUGAUUUUUUUUAUUGCCAAUCUUGUUCUCCUUAAAUUGUUGUUUCCAGAGAGUAAUCAAUGAUCUUCCAUGUUACCUUACUACUAAGAUCUUAAAUGAUGUGACAUUGUCUUUUUAAUACUGGUCAUGCUAUUUCACAUGGUAUACAAGAUUAUCAACAUCUGAUCUGGUCCUCAUGGAUCAAUAAAAAAAUAAAUAUUGUGAAUAAUUUUUCA
rnacentral:lncRNA from 13 species